UACGGAGGGUGCAAGCGUUAUCCGGAUUUACUGGGUUUAAAGGGUGCGUAGGUGGGUUUGUAAGUCAGUGGUGAAAUCUCCGAGCUUAACUCGGAAACUGCCAUUGAUACUAUAGAUCUUGAAUUAUCUGGAGGUAAGCGGAAUAUGUCAUGUAGCGGUGAAAUGCUUAGAUAUGACAUAGAACACCAAUUGCGAAGGCAGCUUACUACGGAUAUAUUGACACUGAGGCACGAAAGCGUGGGGAGCGAACAGG
rnacentral:rRNA from 1 species